rnacentral:tRNA from 1 species
GGGAAGGUAGCUCAGUGGUAGAGUGCUUGCCUUGCAUGCAUGAGACCCUGGGUUCAAUUCCUCAGCACCA